AGCAAUAAAAAAUUUAUUUACAAAGAAAAUGCAUGUUCUUUUUUUUCGUUUAUUUUUCCUUAAAUAUUUUUUUGUUUGCUAUAUAUAAGUGUGUAUGAUGAACCUAUUAAUCCCACAUCUAGCAAAAAAUAAAAUAUAAGGUGAAAUUAACGCUCGCAAUGGCCUCUCGUUCUUGCUUGAUUUUGUGUUUUGCUUUCAUUUUGCUGUCAGGUUUCGUAAAUAGUUUGGGUCCUAAUCCGAACUGCUCUGGGGAAUGCAUAAGUGUUAAAGAGUGCAGUAAAGAUUGCUCUACUAGAGGCUUCAAUAAAGGUGGUUAUUGUUUAGGAAUGGGACUGAAACCUAACUUUGAGCUUUGUUGCUGUAAUUAAUCUUUCAAGAAAGCUAGAUAAAUAAAACACAAAUAUGAACAGUUAUGCAAAUAAAUGGAAAAGAAUAUGAGUUUUAUUUUGUA